rnacentral:rRNA from 1 species
AAUGAACGCUGGCGGCGGGCCUAACACAUGCAAGUCGAACGAGUGGCGGACGGGUGAGUAAUGUCUGGAAAACUGCCAGAUGGAGGGGGAUAACUAGUGGAAACGGUAGCUAAUACCGCAAACCAUACGAUUAGACCAGAUGGGAUGAGCUUGUGGGUGGGUUAACGGCUAACCAGGGAGACAAUCCCUAGCUGGUCUGAGAGGAUGACAGGCCACACGGGAACUGAGACACGGUCCAGACUCCUACGGGAGGAAGCAGUGGGGAAUAUUGCCCAAUGGGCGAAAGCCUGAUGCAGCAAUGCCGCGUGUAUGAUGAAGGCCUUCGGGUGGUAAAGUUCUUUCAUCGGGGAGGCGUUACCCGCACAGGAAGCCCCGGCUAACUCCGUGCCAGCAGCCGCGGUAAUUC